GAGUGUUAGCAGUCGUGUAUUUCAUGAGUUCUUCGUAAAAGCAUUUUAUUGGAAUUACAGUGGAUAUUAUCAUCAAAACAGCACAGAAUCAGGAAACAGACAGCAAGAUGAGUCAAAUUUGGACGAUAUGCUUCGUAUCUCCGUACACAUUCAUCGUUGCACUUGAGUAUUGUGCAAAUAGGGACUUCGAUGUGGAGGAUUGCAUCAUAGACAGAAUGGAUGCCAUAAGGUGCUAUUGCCUUCAAGAAUGUGUCGAGGUCAUAGAACACCUUAUAUACAAGGUUGGAGAAUUUUUUGUUAGAGUUGUGAAGGAAUGACGAUAUUCAGGCCCUACACGAAAAGCUUACGAGGGCUCAUUAACCUGUGGUCGGCAGCUGCAUUCGUCUUUUCACUAGUGACCUGGACAGCAAGGUUUCCAAGAUUCGAAUACGUGAGAAUACCCUCCUGGAUAACGCUAAAAUUACGGGAACUAGGAACAGUUUGCGCUCCAUAUAGCCCAAAACGAUGUGGACAUACCAUUUACGAAUUGACUAAAUUGAUAUCAUAGGAGGGUUUUUAAAACCGAAAAAGAAUAAUGAUAAUCUUAGUAUGUCACUUUGUAAUCAACACGUUUAUAAAUCAUUGUGAUGGAAAGCCAUCCAAAUUCAGUUCAUAAUGUCGAUUACAAAACCGAAAGGGGCCUGAUAAAAAGCUAUGCAGGCUCGCCCAGAAUCAUAAAACUAAUUUGUGGGAAUGGAAAUCCUCCAAUGUAAUAUUUGAUGUAAAGAAUCUGAAUAGGUUUUGCCUGAUUUAUCUGCAUUGAAAUGGAAAGCCAUUCAAGGCAAUAGAAUCCAUCGAAAUUCAGCGUGUAUGAUGACUUUUUUGGAAGCACGGCGUUUUAAAUUCAUUCAAAAUUAUUGAUGGGGAAACUAUUUAUAAUAAAUCUAAGCAUUUAGUACUUGGAGGUUAUUUAUCAAUAUUUACUGUUGCAUUUACCACUUUUUUUGAGGGAAAAUCAGUCAAGUUAAAUGUUUGUUUUAAACACUAGCGCUAAUGUCACUCUGUGUUAACUUUGAUUGUGUUACUAGGCAUGUUAAAACCGAUGUACAUGGACAAGAUUUAAGACAAUUCUUGCAUUUUAAAUGCAGCAGAACCUCUCUAUUAACGGGUUCCUGGGACUGACACUUGCUGUCUCUAUAGAGAGGUGUCCCAUUACAGUUGUUCAGGCUACAGUCUAAUCCUAACCUGACGAAUCCAUCAAGUUAUUCAGGGUGCACCCGACAACACUCAAGGCUUUUUUUACUUCCCUUGUACAUGUUGUAUCAGGUCCCAAAACUAAUGUUAGAAUGUUACUGGUAUAUAACAUCCAUCGUUUAGUGCUUUAGUAAAGAUAGUCUGCCAUCCCAUCAAAUAUAGAUAUUUGCAAGGAAUUUUUCCUGAACCGAGGAAUGUGAUAUUCCCAAAGCCGACAUCUUAAAUGUUUAUCAUUUUUGUAGGACUCGAGAAAAUACAGAUUUUGCGUGUAGUCGUGUAUAUUGAGGCAGUGCAAUUAAUUCAGAUAUUUUCCACUCUGUAUGGUUUAUUUCUCGAGCAAAAUCGUUUUUUCGUGAACUCAUGAUAUAUCGUCGUACAUGUAUAUCGUUGAGGUGCGGGGAUUCGCAUUGGUCGUGUGUUAAUGGGUUAUAUAGACAGAGCCAGUGUAAAAUUGACCACAAAGGCAGUAGGAACAGUCCUUUAGUUUUUUUGUAUUGCACGGAGAGGGAAUCCAUUUGUCGUAAAUUAGUCGUCUUUUGCUAGCAGGUUUAUUAUCUAGAGUAUGCUGGGAUAAGUUCACUGUAAGGGCAUACUUUUAGCAUUGCUUUGAUGACAUAGAAAAGCAGUAAAUCUGUAACUAGAGAUCCUUCCCAACUUGAAGGUGCGGGGCGCAUUUGACAUGUUUGAUAGGAACAAAGAGGCAUUGAGAUUUAUCACACAGGAUCAUCUGCCAUUUAAUGCACCCUUAAAAUAACCGGGACUCUUUUGUAUUAGAUCUCGAUCAGGGGCAUUUAUAAUCCAAAUCUUUAUCGGCCUACUGAAGAGAACUGUUUACAAACCGACCAAACAUGUCAAAAAGCUUGCCAAUAUCCUGGUGACCUCUGAACCAGUGAUCGGCCAGGUGAGGUCUCGAGCACUCUGGCUUUCAAGACGAGACAUUUGCCGAAUUCGUCUGGAACUUCGGGUAGAAUACCAUGCAGUUGACUGAAUUCAAUAUUACGAAGGCACAGAAGGAUCAUUCGAAAUUCAAAAUGUAUGGUUUAAACAUUGGUCUAGUACAUUUUUUAAUGUAGUGUUUGAGGUUUUCCAAAAAAUUGCUAACUUUCAUAUUGACGUCAACUGUUAAAUUUUUAUAC